rnacentral:rRNA from 1 species
GUGCCAGCGCCGCGGUAAUACCGGCAGCCCGAGUGAUGGCCGAUCUUAUUGGGCCUAAAGCGUCCGUAGCUGGCCGCGCAAGUCCAUCGGGAAAUCCCCCUGCUCAACAGGUGGGCGUCCGGUAGAAACUGGCCGGCUUGGAACCGGAAGGCUCAGAGAGUACGUCCGGGGUAGGAGUGAAAUCCCGUAAUCCCGGACGGACUACCGAUGGCGAAAGCACUCUGAGAAGACGGCUUCGACAGUGAGGGACGAAAGCUCGGGUCUCAAACCGGAUUAGAAACCCCGGUAGUCC